rnacentral:rRNA from 1 species
AACGAACGCUGGCGGCAUGCCUAACACAUGCAAGUCGAACGAGACCUUCGGGUCUAGUGGCGCACGGGUGCGUAACGCGUGGGAAUCUGCCCUUCGGUUGGGAAUAACUGAGAGAAAUUUCAGCUAAUACCUUAUAAUGUCUUCGGACCAAAGAUUUAUCGCCGAGGGAUGAGCCCGCGUAGGAUUAGGUAGUUGGUGGGGUAAUGGCCUACCAAGCCGACGAUCCUUAGCUGGUCUGAGAGGAUGAUCAGCCACACUGGGACUGAGACACGGCCCAGACUCCAAGGGGAGGGAGAAGGGGGGAAAAGUGGAAAAUGGGCGAAAGCCUGACCCAGAAAUGCCGGGUAGGGGAAGAAGGCCUUAGGGUUGGAAAGCUUUUUUACCCGGGAUGAAAAGAAAGGAACGGGGAAAAAAAGCCCCGGCUAACCCGGG